AUUGAACGCAUGCGGUAGGCCGAACACAUGCAAGUCGAGCGAGAGGAGGAAGGGGAAGUAAUGGAUGGGGACUGCCCGAUAGAGGGGGAUAACUACUGGUAACGGUAGCUAAUACCGCAUGCUAGCGGAUAACACAGAUGGGAUUAGCUAGUGGGUGAGGUAAUGGCUCACCAAGGCGACGAGCCCGAGCUGGUCUGAGAGGAUGAUCAGCCCCACUGGGACUGUGACACGGCCCAGACUCCUACGGAGGCAGCAGUGGGGACGAUUGCCCCAUGGACGCAAGUCUGAUGCAGCCAUGCCGCGUGUAUGAAGCAGGCCCUAGGGUUGUAAAGUACUUUCAGUCGGGAGGCGUUACCGACUGAAGUAGCACCGGCUAGCUCCGUGCCAGCCGCCGCGGUAAUUC
rnacentral:rRNA from 1 species